AAUGAACGCUGGCGGCAGGCCUAACACAUGCAAGUCGAACGGAUCCUUCGGGAUUAGUGGCGGACGGGUGAGUAACGCGUGGGAACAUACCCAAAGGUACGGAAUAGCCUCGGGAAACUGGGAGUAAUACCGUAUGUGCUCGAAAGAGGAAAGAUUUAUCGCCUUUGGAUUGGCCCGCGUUGGAUUAGGUAGUUGGUGGGGUAAUGGCGUACCAAGCCGACGAUCCAUAGCUGGUUUGCGAGGAUGAUCAGCCACGCUGGGACUGGGACACGGCCCAGACUCCUACGGGAGGCAGCAGUGGGGAAUCUUAGACAAUGGAGGAAACCCUGAUCUAGCCAUGCCGCGUGAUCGAUGAAGGCCUUAGGGUUGUAAAGAUCUUUCAGGUGGGAAGAUAAUGACUGUACCACCAGAAGAAGCCCCGGCUAACUCCGUGCCAGCCGCCGCGGUAA
rnacentral:rRNA from 1 species